rnacentral:rRNA from 1 species
AACGAACGCUGGCGGCAGGCUUAACACAUGCAAGUCGAACGCCCUCUUCGGAGGGAGUGGCAGACGGGUGAGUAACGCGUGGGAACCUACCUAGUAGUACGGAAUAACUCAGAGAAAUUUGUGCUAAUACCGUAUACGCCCUUAGGGGGAAAGAUUUAUCGCUAUUAGAUGGGCCCGCGUUGGAUUAGGUAGUUGGUGGGGUAACGGCCUACCAAGCCGACGAUCCAUAGCUGGUCUGAGAGGAUGAUCAGCCACACUGGGACUGAGACACGGCCCAGACUCCUACGGGAGGCAGCAGUGGGGAAUAUUCGGCAAUGGGGAAACCCUGACCGAGCCAUGCCGCGUGAGUGAUGAAGGCCCUAGGGUUGUAAAGCUCUUUCAACGGUGAAGAUAAUGACGGUAACCGUAGAAGAAGCCCCGG